rnacentral:rRNA from 1 species
CCUACGGGAGGCAGCAGUGGGGAAUAUUGGGCAAUGGGCGCAAGCCUGACCCAGCAACGCCGCGUGCAGGAAGAAGGCUUUCGGGUUGUAAACUUCUUUUCUGAGGGACGAAGAAAGUGGCAGUUCCUGAGUAAUAAGCCACUGCUAACUUGGUACCAGCCGCGGCCGUACGACGUAGGUGACAAUCGUUAUCCGUGGUUGUUGGGUGUAAAGGGCGUGUAGGGGGGAAAGCAAGUCAGAUGUGAAACCGCAGGGCUAAACUUUGAGCCUGCAUUUGAAACUGUUUUUCUUGAGUGCUGGAGAGGUAAUCGGAAUUCCGUGUGUAGCGGUGAAAUGCGUAGAUAUACGGAGGAACACCAGUGGCGAAGGCGGAUUGCUGGACAGUAACUGACGCUGAGGCGCGAAAGCGUGGGGAGCAAACAGGAUUAGAUACCCCAGUAGUC